rnacentral:lncRNA from 1 species
CUGGCCUUCCUAUCUCCAGCUUUCUUAUCUCUUUAUCUUCCUUAUAUCUCUUUUUAGGCCCUUGUCCUUAUUAUUUUAAAACUUAUCUUUAUUAUUUUAGAACUUGUCCUAAUAAGGAAAGGAAGAGAAUAAUUGGAUAAUAAGAAAAAAUCUCAUUUAGACUUGUCCUUAUUAUUUUAGAACUUGUCCCAACAAGGAAGGAAGAGAAUAAUUGGAUAAUAAGAAAAAAUCUGAAUGAAUGAGAACCCCGACGCACAUCCCCUUUAUAUUUGAAGACCAGAUGCCAUCGAGAUUGACUUGCACCCUUCCAAGCCAAUUCUUACGCCCAAAUCCACACCGUUCCACCCUGCACA